AAUUUACCUACGUUUCUAUCUAUAAAUUAUUUCUGUACAGUGAAAUUUGUGGCCAUGACAGCAGUUUACAAAUUUAUUUUUCGACAAAUUUUUCUCUCUCCCCACACUCUAGCGAUGAUGUCACGCACUCUGGCAGUUUUUUUCGGUUGGAGGUUCUCGCAAUACACACCCAUUCAUUUUUUGGACCGGUUUUUGGCGAUUUACCGGAAAACCGUUUGGCGAAAUUCUUAGAAAAGUCAUAGCACUCGAUUCCCGGCCGAGCCGCACGUUUUGAUACCUUUUUUGUGUAUGUGCGACAAAAGCUGCGGGAGAAGAAGCGCGCCGAAAAACGUACGGAAGAAUAAAAUAUUAUAACUAGAAAAUUCCUAAAGCAAUUUUGAUUGUGCCUUGCUCUGGCCCAUAUGUUAAUACCAUGUCUACGUGCUAACCGCUAGCUCUGCGCUAAUCGCUAGCUAAGUGCUAACCGCUAAUCGCUAGCUAAGUGCUAGCUUUGGUUAAUGUGUUUAAUUGUAUUUUGCUCCUGAAGGAGUGCUAAUGUAAAUUAAGGAACAGCUCAUAGUAGGGUAAAAUAUUUAAGGUGUAUUGAACUUAUUUUGUGUUAAUAUUAAAAUCAUUCAGCUUUAAAUUGUUUGCUUGUUAGCCACCUGCUAAUUAUCUUUAGCUAGCCAGCUAGCGCUAGCUUAUUAAUGCCAUGUAAUCCUCCCUAUAGCAUAUUGAUAACCUGUCAUCCUCCUUAGCUAGCGCUAGCAUAUUAAUAUCAUGUCAUUCUCUUUAGCUAGCUAGCUAGAGCUAGCACACAUAAACACAUUAACCAAAGGUAGCGCUUAGCUACGUGCUAAUCGCUAGCUAACCGCUAAUCGCUAGCUAAGUGCUAGCUUUGGUUAAUGUGUUUAAUUGUGUUAUGCUCCUGAAGGAGUGCUAAUGUAAAUUAAGGAACAGCUCAUAGUAGGGUAAAAUAUUUAAGGUGUAUUGAACUUAUUUUGUGUUAAUAUUAAAAUCAUUCAGCUUUAAAUUGUUUGCUUGUUAGCCACCUUCUAAUUAUCUUUAGCUAGCCAGCUAGCGCUAGAUUAUUAAUGCCAUGUAAUCCUGCCUUCAGCAUAUUGAUAACCUGUCAUCCUCCUUAGCUAGCGCUAGCAUAUUAAUAUCAUGUCAUUCUCUUUAGCUAGCUAGCUAGAGCUAGCACACAUAAACACAUAAACCAAAGCUAGUGCUUAGCUACGUGCUAAUCGCUAGCUACGUGCUAAUCGCUAGUUACAUGCUAAUCGCUAGCUAACCGCUAAUCGCUAGCUACAUGCUAAUCGCUAGCUAAGCGCUAAUCGCUAGCUGAGUGCUAGCUUUGGUUAAUGUGUUUAAUUGUAUUAUUCUCCUGAAGGAGUGCUAAUGUAAAUUAAGGAACAGCUCAUAGUAGGGUAAAAUAUUUAAGAUGUAUUGAACUUAUUUUGUGUUAAUAUUAAAAUCAUUCAGCUUUAAAUUGUUUGCUUGUUAGCCACCUGCUAAUUAUCUUUAGCUAGCCAGCUAGCGCUAGCUUAUUAAUGUCUUGUCAUUCUCUGUAGCUAGCUGUGUCUGUGUGUGUGUGUGUGUGUGUGAGCAGGCUUUGGUUGUCAUGGCAAUCAGGGGAGCCCACAGCAGCUGCGCGCGCUCUCUCUCUGUCUCUAACUCCUCAGAGAGACAGAAAACAUUUAAAAUGAAUCCCCUCAAAAGCAUGGACAGGAACGACCGAAAUGAAAACCGAAAACACCGUGAGCGUCGUCAUCUUGUUGACUAUAGCACUGCCGAGUUUCAGUGGUUAAAGUUAAAAAAUGUGACCUGGGGAGAUUGAGAGAGAAGAGGUUCAACGAGCGUUUUUCAAGAAUCCUCCUCUCCAUUUUAACAUGGGAGUAGAUGGGGCCGUGAGAGGGCGUUGCUGGCGCAUCAGUGCGUCUCCCGCCAAAACUAUUUGUCUGACAGCUUCAGCAGUAGUAUCACUGCGAC